UACAGAGGUCCCAAGCGUUGUUCGGAUUCACUGGGCGUAAAGGGUGCGUAGGUGGUGAGGUAAGUCGGAUGUGAAAGCUCGGAGCUCAACUCCGAAAUGGCAUUGGAAACUACCUUGCUCGAGGGUUGGAGGGGGGACUGGAAUACUUGGUGUAGCAGUGAAAUGCGUAGAUAUCAAGUGGAACACCAGUGGCGAAGGCGAGUCCCUGGACAACUCCUGACACUGAGGCACGAAGGCCAGGGGAGCAAACGGG
rnacentral:rRNA from 1 species